UUUGCGUCCGAGAAGAUGGCUGCAGAGGCUCAGUGGAAGCACCCCAACCUAGAGAGGCUGGUCACCUGCCGCCACUGCCUGGGUCUAGCAUACCAGGGGAAUGCGCACGGCGAAGAGUGGAAGGUCUGAACCGGCUGGCCUAGUCCGAGGGGCUGGAACGGGCUGGUCGCCUAGGCGUGAUGCUUAGAAGCCUUCUGAUCAAACGCGACCCACGGGGCCCCAGGGAUGCAGAAGGGCGGCGUGAGAUGCUCUUGGAGCUCUGGCUCUCUGGAUCGGGUGAGCAGACUCCUCCUGAAACCAGAGGAAGAUCAGUCUCCCCUUCCUCACUAACACCCAAGUUAAGGAAUCCUGUUAAAGGAAGUUGCUAACCUAGGCUGACAAUACAGCCCAGCAGUGGUUUACUUAGUGCAAGCGCGAGAAACCAAACCGACGCUAAGAAAGAGCAGCCAGCAUCGUUGGCUGACAGAUCUAUAUAACCUGUCAACCUUCUGGAAUUGAAAAGCUGAAAUGUGAACACCUCUUCCCACUUCUGCAUUCUUUGGUCGUAAAUAAAACCUUCCUUUCUCCCCAA